GAGCCUUCCAAUUCCGGAUUGUAGUUCAUUCCAAAUAUUGUCAAGUUGACAACCAGGAAUAGCCACUACAGUAGUCUAACCUCUCCAAACCUGUGGGUCAAAUGGGAGAAAACCAGCCUGUAGUUCCCAAGUCUGAUUUCUCUGGGGAAUUGUCAAUGUCACUCAGGAGUUAAGAGGAGGCUCAGGCAACACUCCUGAUUCCAGGAGAGCAGUUCUCCAUCUGUGGAGCUGAUACAUUUGACUUUAUAGAGGAUGUCAGUGGAAAAAUAUUUAUUACCGAAAACAAAUUCUUAGAAACCAGACCUAAAAUUCUAAAAUUGAGAGAUUUUACAUAAACCUUAUUGUGUAAUGGUGGUAAGUAAAGAAAGACUCAAAGAGAUUACAGGCUGGCUACCUAGGUAUGCAGUGUGUGUGUGUGUGUAUGGGGGUGUCUCCCAGGGCUGUUCAUGGUUUUGGUUUUUUGUUUGUUUUGUUUCUUUUUAUUUUAUCUUGUGUGAGUGAGCUUCUUUGAAGACAGAUUGCCAAUGUGAUAUUCUUGGUAAAUAUAAGAUCAAUGCUUCUGUUUCUGGUGCUAUACUUUUUCUCUUCUGGUCCCAGGUUCUGCUGCGGGAACCAUGGAUUACUGGAUUACAGACAUAGCCAAAUCCAGGAACCGUACCAUAUACAACCACUCUAGCAAAUGGCACAGAAAUGGCAUCAUGAAACCAAAGUCACAAAGAUAUGAAUCUCUUAAGGAAUGUGUGUUUUGCCAAGAAGAACAUGAAGGCCUGAAGAAGAUGCAGGCCAUCAAAACAAAGGCAAAGCUCAGAGGAGAAAAAGAAAAAGAUGAAGAGGUAAAGUACAGUGUACUUUGGGACUCAAGAAACGAUUCUUCAUGACUCUGUCAUGAUCUACUCUCCAUGCACUCCCUCCUUAUGCAUAUCACACAGCUAUUGGAUAAGGUUUCUAGAUCAGUCUCAUUAUUAUUGAUCAACCAAACCAACCAAUGGAAUGUGUCCAAUAUACUCACUUGUAAAGUUGCAGAAGUAUAUCAACUUUUCUGGAACCCAGAAGACUCAGGAAAUAGCUUAUUCUGAGUAGUCCACAAUAAGAAAGAAAACUCACACUUCAGGCUGUUGACAUAUGAAAUCUAUGAGCAGUAUUCAUAUGAUUAUUCUCAUCAAAGUCACUCCAUUUUCCUGUUCUCACCACCAUUUAUUUCUCCUCCUCCUCCUCCUCCUUCUCCUCCUCCCUUCCUCCUCCCCUCCGCUCCCCUCUUCAUCUUCCUCCUCCUACAGGUGAAUUAGAAUAUUUCUGUUAUUUCUGUGCAGUCCCAAAACCUAACGAAUAUCAAAGACUCUUCGUCCAUCUUGGGGUUAUGUUAAAGAAAUAAUGUAUGUGCUAACGUGAAACACAAACCAAGCUUCUGAGAAGUCUCUACCAACUUAACUCUGAAAGGCGUGUGACAAGGCAUGUGACAUCCUGUGUCUGGGUCACCUGGCAUUGCAGUUUUUUCUAGGACUGCUUUGGCCUUCACCUGCUGUUUUGGCAUCACGUCUUAAGUGAAUGCUCCUUUUCAGAUGGCUCCAGACUGAACUGUCCCCUGAAUGGUUACUGGACACUAUCUCAACCCAUGGUGAAUAGUGCAAUCUAUAAGGAGGGCUGACAAACAUGGAUCACAGAGAACAGAUCUAAGGCAGAUGAAUUCCCAGAACCAAGAAGAUAAAGUGGACAUGAGCUCCCAUCCCAAACCAAGAAGCUAUCUCCAGUUGACAACUGCUUAUGAAAGAAAAUUUAGCUUUUACCAUUGGAGUCUCACUGGGUAUAUAACUGCACUUGAGGGUAAGACCGUGUGUGAUGGUAGAUGGCUACCAAAAUGUGUUAUUUUGGGAUAUUUUCUAUCUCUUAUUGCUUUUGGAAGACAUUUUUUUAAAAGUUGUUGCUUGUGUAUUUUGAUUUCUGAUUCUGGGCUUUGAUGGGUUUUACUUUUGUGUAUACAUGUUUAUCUUUCUGUGUGUGUUUCUUGUGCCUUUUCUGUUUUGUUUUUUGAUUUUGUCUUUUUGUUCUUUCAAAAAUUGUUUGUUUUGUAAAGAGAGAGAAAGAAAGAGUGCUGUUGGGUGAGUAGGAAGGUGGUCGGGAUCUUCAAGGAGAUGGAUUAGUGAAAUGGAGGUCAAGUUGUAAUGAGAAUAGAUUGUGUGAGGAAAAAAAAUACUUUCAAUAAAAAGGAAAAGCAUCUAGCCAAAGAAACAGACACACACAGAGAGAGAGAGAGAGAGAGAGAGAGAGAGGGAGAGAGAGAGAGAGAGAAUCUCAAGCCAUUUCUUUGCCAUGCCUUAUGAAUAUCAUAAAAUGAAAUGCAAACAAGCCCUUCCGCCCUUCCUAGCAUCUUUACUAUUAUGUUUAUCUUUAGCUCAAGGAAAUACUCAAGCAUUUACUGAGGUUGCCCCCCCACACUUGAGAUCCCCUACUUCUGAAGCCACAAGUCUACAUGAGACAGAAUAGUUUCCCGUUUUUACUAUGUAUGGAAUGUUGGUUCCAGUUAUCUUGGAGACCUGACCUUCUUUCAUUGUUUGAAGGGUUUAAAUAGGUUUCUCAGUGUCUACUUUUGCCUGGUGAAUUUGUUCACAAACAACUGAGUCAUUUAACUGACACUUCCAUUUUAACAGCUAAGGCUUUAUGAGCCCCACUAUGUCUUGGCUUUUUAACUGAGUAAUUUGAUAGUCAUUAACGUUUUUUGCUUUAUUUCAAGGAACAGUUUACACCUGUGUAGUUACCGUUAAGUUACAGAAUCAAUCAAGAGUUUGCUGAAAUCCUAAAUAAAAGCAAAGUUUCCAAUGAAAAGCAAACCCACCAAGGAAACCAACUUCUGGUUAUCACUUAGAGCCCCAUACUCUCAAAAUUAAGCUCAAUGAGUAAAGCUUCAAUUUUUACCAUUAGUUGAAGACAUAAAUAUGAAGCCAGGAGACUGUAAGCUGUGGCUGCCUACUGAGACAUCAGUGAGGAAACACAGCUGCCUUCCUGUUUGGAAAGCUGUUUCUUUACCAGCCCCCACUCCUCCUCCUCCUCUCUCUCUCUCUCAAGUUGAAAAUCUUUCUUGUUGCUUACCAUCAACAGUUCAACUUCUAUGAGUCCUAGGAGUCCAUUUCUGCAGUCCACCAUCUCCUCUCCUUUCAGGAGAUCCUGGAAUUUGAAGUCAGCACAAACACUGGUGAAGGCAUGAAGCUCAUUUCCAGGUGGCCUUCAUUUCUGGACGUAGGGUCAAGUCAUUCAGGAGCGUUCUCCCUGCCUUUGAGUUCGGGUGACCAACCUUAAAGGGCAGGUGUGGCUUCUCAGAAGGACUCUGACUCUCCUCACCUUUCAGUUACCCCCAUGGAACUCUUUCCUCAGAGAUCUGCAGAACUUGAUGACAGGAAUGUAAAUGUCUUUGUAGUGAUAGAGCUAUCUGUGUAAAGGCUGGAUCACCUUGUGAUCUCUGCUUCCCAGAGCAAAGCCUGCUUUUGUUGCUUGUAAUAUCAAAUAAACAUAUCCUGAAGCUGGUGUA